rnacentral:rRNA from 1 species
UGGACUAGGGGGUCAUCCCGACUUACCAACUCCAUGCAAACUCCGAAUACCAGUAAGUAAUAUCCGGGAGACACACGGCGGGUGCUAACGUCCGUCGUGAAGAGGGAAACAACCCAGACCGCCAGCUAAGGUCCCAAAGUCAUGGUUAAGUGGGAAACGAUGUGGGAAGGCCCAGACAGCCAGGAUGUUGGCUUAGAAGCAGCCAUCAUUUAAAGAAAGCGUAAUAGCUCACUGGUCGAGUCGGCCUGCGCGGAAGAUGUAACGGGGCUAAACCAUGCACCGAAGCUGCGGCAGCGACGCUUAUGCGUUGUUGGGUAGGGGAGCGUUCUGUAAGCCUGUGAAGGUGUGCUGUGAGGCAUGCUGGAGGUAUCAGAAGUGCGAAUGCUGACAUAAGUAACGAUAAAGCGGGUGAAAAGCCCGCUCGCCGGAAGACCAAGGGUUCCUGUCCAACGUUAAUCGGGGCAGGGUGAGUCGACCCCUAAGGCGAGGCCGAAAGGCGUAGUCGAUGGGAAACAGGUUAAUAUUCCUGUACUUGGUGUUACUGCGAAGGGGGGACGGAGAAGGCUAUGUUGGCCGGGCGACGGUUGUCCCGGUUUAAGCGUGUAGGCUGGUUUUCCAGGCAAAUCCGGAAAACCAAGGCUGAGGCGUGAUGACGAGGCACUACGGUGCUGAAGCAACAAAUGCCCUGCUUCCAGGAAAAGCCUCUAAGCAUCAGGUAACAUCAAAUCGUACCCCAAACCGACACAGGUGGUCAGGUAGAGAAUACCAAGGCGCUUGAGAGAACUCGGGUGAAGGAACUAGGCAAAAUGGUGCCGUAACUUCGGGAGAAGGCACGCUGAUAUGUAGGUGAAGCGACUUGCUCGUGGAGCUGAAAUCAGUCGAAGAUACCAGCUGGCUGCAACUGUUUAUUAAAAACACAGCACUGUGCAAACACGAAAGUGGACGUAUACGGUGUGACGCCUGCCCGGUGCCGGAAGGUUAAUUGAUGGGGUUAGCGGUAACGCGAAGCUCUUGAUCGAAGCCCCGGUAAACGGCGGCCGUAACUAUAACGGUCCUAAGGUAGCGAAAUUCCUUGUCGGGUAAGUUCCGACCUGCACGAAUGGUGUAACCAUGGCCAUGCUGUCUCCACCCGAGACUCAGUGAAAUCGAAUUCGCCGUGAAGAUGCGGUGUACCCGCGGCUAGACGGAAAGACCCCGUGAACCUUUACUACAGCUUGGCACUGAACAUUGAACCUACAUGUGUAGGAUAGGUGGGAGGCUUUGAAGGCGUGACGCCAGUUGCGCUGGAGCCGUCCUUGAAAUACCACCCUUGUAUGUUUGAUGUUCUAACGCAGGGCCCUGAAUCGGGCUCGCGGACAGUGCCUGGUGGGUAGUUUGACUGGGGCGGUCUCCUCCCAAAGAGUAACGGAGGAGCACGAAGGUUGGCUAAUCCUGGUCGGACAUCAGGAGGUUAGUGCAAUGGCAUAAGCCAGCUUAACUGCGAGACGGACAGGUCGAGCAGGUACGAAAGUAGGUCAUAGUGAUCCGGUGGUUCUGAAUGGAAGGGCCAUCGCUCAACGGAUAAAAGGUACUCCGGGGAUAACAGGCUGAUACCGCCCAAGAGUUCAUAUCGACGGCGGUGUUUGGCACCUCGAUGUCGGCUCAUCACAUCCUGGGGCUGAAGUAGGUCCCAAGGGUAUGGCUGUUCGCCAUUUAAAGUGGUACGCGAGCUGGGUUUAGAACGUCGUGAGACAGUUCGGUCCCUAUCUGCCGUGGGCGCUGGAGAACUGAGGGGGGCUGCUCCUAGUACGAGAGGACCGGAGUGGACGCAUCACUGGUGUUCGGGUUGUCAUGCCAAUGGCACUGCCCGGUAGCUAAAUGCGGAAGAGAUAAGUGCUGAAAGCAUCUAAGCACGAAACUUGCCCCGAGAUGAGUUCUCCCUGAGACUUAGAGUCUCCUGAAGGAACGUUGAAGACGACGACGUUGAUAGGCCGGGUGUGUAAGCGCAGCGAUGCGUUGAGCUAACCGGUACUAAUGAACCGUGAGGCUUAACC